AUUGAACGCUGGCGGCAUGCCUUACACAUGCAAGUCGAACGGCAGCACGGGGCAACCUGGUGGCGAGUGGCGAACGGGUGAGUAAUGCAUCGGAACGUACCUUUCAGUGGGGGAUAACGUAGCGAAAGUUACACUAAUACCGCAUAUUCUGUGAGCAGGAAAGCAGGGGAUCGCAAGACCUUGCGCUGAUUGAGCGGCCGAUGUCAGAUUAGCUAGUUGGUGAGGUAAAGGCUCACCAAGGCGACGAACUGUAGCGGGUCUGAGAGGAUGAACCGCCACACUGGAACUGGGACACGGUCCAGACUCCUACGGGAGGCAGCAGUGGGGAAUUGUGGACAAUGGGGGCAACCCUGAUCCAGCCAUGCAGCGUGAGUGAAGAAGGCCUUCGGGUUGUACAGCUCUUUCGGCCGGGAAGAAAUCGCACGGGCUAAUACCCUGUGUGGAUGACGGUACCGGAAUAAGAAGCACCGGCUAACUACGUGCCAGCCGCCGCCGUAAAAC
rnacentral:rRNA from 1 species